CUGAAACAAAUUUAAAAAUAUUGCAUGACCGUAGAGGUGCAUACAAGGCAAACUCAAUCUAGAUGGUGGCCAAGCAGAACUUACACAGAACUUAACAUAAUAGCCAACAGCAUUUAUAAAAUCCGUUAAUGCAACAGCUGAACAAGUCUGGUAACUCUGGAUGCCUCUUCGCGACCGUAACACUUUUAUGAGCAAAUUUUAGCGACACACAUUCUUGCGAACAAAGUGUUAAAAACAGCAUCGUACGUUGAACAGUGCUCCGCCCCGACAUGAAUUGAUCAUUGGUCGGUCAAAUUUAAAACUUUUAAAACACGUUUACAUGAAGGAUUGGAUUUAAAAUUGUGGUGCUGAAAAUGAUAUUAAAAAUUAAGAAUAUUGUACGAUUCGUAGUGUUUUCAUUGAUGAAAAAGCCAGCAAAUUUAGAGUGUGAAGCAGUGGAGCCGUAUGUGAAAAUUAAGAGGAAAAUAAUAACCGGCUACGAAUAAAGAUUCAACUGCAACAUAAACUUCACAAUGCAUCUUGACAAACAAUUUUCACUUGAGAAGUAUGGAUCUAAACAAGGGGUUUUAUUGAUCCCGGGAUUUUCGAGUUCUUAUUAUUUAAUCCGGGAUCACAGAUUGAUUUUGAUUUUGAUAAAAAUAUUGUUAGAACAGUGUAAUACAUACAUAUAUACUUAGCCAAUUAAAGUAUUUUAAAUCAAACAUUAUAGCAAAUGUAUAUAAUUUUUGGUAAUUCGCAUAUUUAUUAAGACAAUAAUUUAAUAUUAUUUAUAAACAAAAUAAUGGAUUUAUGUAUGAAUUGAAUGUAUGUAAAUAUAACCAUCCAGUUUAUCAAGAGUCUGACUCUUAAAUUAACGUGCUUUGUGGGAUUCUUAAUAUUCGGUUAAUCGAUUUGAAUACGACGUUAGUCGAGUAACGAUACUCGAGUAGUCGAAUGAUUUCAACUAAUCGUCCCUUUUCGACUAUUCGGUUAACCAUUGAAUUUCAGUUGGUCGAUUGUUAUAAAUUCUUAUUAUAAUUACAUUAUUUUCAGUUGGUCGAUUGUUAUAAAUUCUUAUUAUAAUUACAUUAUGCGUCCAAGUAACUUUUAAAAUAAUAAAUCCGUACUGAUUAUUUGUUUCAUAUACUGCUGCACCCGCCUCAAAAGAAAAUCCACCACAGAUCUCCUCUUUUAGUGGGAAAAAUUGAAAUGGGUUGUACCACUAGGUGCAUCCCAUAAACGACUGAAAUUUUCUAGCUGCUAGUUUGAGUUAUUCUGCAAAUAUUGCUUAAUGUAUUGCAACAUAUCAAUAAUAUUAAAUUAGUAAUCAAGCUCUCUCAGAGCGGAUAGCCAGUCAUUGUCAUGGGUGAUUUCAAUUUACCAUCCAUAACCUGGUCUUUUGUUGACGGGACCUUCAUGCUUUUUACUAUUAAAUCCGAUAUUGAAGCAACUGUUUUAAUUUACACCUAAAAACCUUCAACAAAUAAACUACUUAUUGAAGGAUUCUAGUAAAUAGUCGCUAAGCGCUCCAGCGGAGAGGGGCCCGCGUUAGCUUCGAUAUUCGGGCGGAUUAUUAAUCACGAUGUCCCAAUGGGCAGGUGAAAAACGUGCGUUUGCAUUCAAAGCCUAUUUCAAAAGCAAUGAUUCGUCUACCUUGCUCAUCGUAAAUUUCGCCGUUUUCGUAAUGCCCCAAGUGAAGAUUUAAUUCGUCGAUGAGUGCCGAGGUUCCGAGCAACAAGUUCGGUAGCAAACAGCCCACAGCCAAGUAUGGUGAACAAAUGAAAAUAUUCAAGUCGACGCUACAAGU